rnacentral:rRNA from 1 species
CCUACGGGAGGCAGCAGUGGGGAAUAUUGCACAAUGGGCGCAAGCCUGAUGCAGCGACGCCGCGUGGGGGAUGACGGCCUUCGGGUUGUAAACUCCUUUCGCUAGGGACGAAGCUUUUUGUGACGGUACCUAGAUAAGAAGCACCGGCUAACUACGUGCCAGCAGCCGCGGUAAUACGUAGGGUGCGAGCGUUGUCCGGAAUUACUGGGCGUAAAGGGCUCGUAGGUGGUUUGUCGCGUCGUCUGUGAAAUUCCGGGGCUUAACUCCGGGCGUGCAGGCGAUACGGGCAUAACUUGAGUACUGUAGGGGUAACUGGAAUUCCUGGUGUAGCGGUGAAAUGCGCAGAUAUCAGGAGGAACACCGAUGGCGAAGGCAGGUUACUGGGCAGUUACUGACGCUGAGGAGCGAAAGCAUGGGUAGCGAACAGGAUUAGAUACCCUGGUAGUCCAUGCCGUAAACGGUGGGCGCUAGGUGUGAGGGUCUUUUCACGACUUUCGUGCCGUAGCUAACGCAUUAAGCGCCCGCCUGGGGAGUACGGCCGCAAGGCUAAAACUUAAAUGAAUUGACGGCUGAGAGNGCGAGACGACGACGAGGAGAG